GGACAGUGAUGAUUCAUAUUGAUAAGGUCUCGUUCGUCGUAAUUGGCCGUGAAGGCCUUGCCGACCAUCCUGUUAUAUCACCACCCAUAUUCUGAGUCC
rfam:Prunus persica cultivar Lovell chromosome G7, whole genome shotgun sequence.